CCUCCAGAAUUCCACUCUUCACUCCUCCUCUUCUCCUCAUCUUCAUCCGUCGUUAUCCAUCUCUCGACCCCGAAUCGCAUGGCAUCGGCUGGCACUUGAUCGAUCGACAUGAGCUAUUGAGGGAGUCUCUGGUCUCCACCUCACUUGUGCCCUAGCCUCUCCUCGUUGGCCGAUUUCCCUUUCGCUCUACCGUCUCCAUCUCUACCACGCCAACCACCGCCUGACACCGUCGCUCAAUUGCGUCGACGUCACUUGACUAUUGCCACCCUUUUUCCAGAGUAAUUUUGAGCCAUGCCCUAACUCCCAUCGCCGAUGCUGACUGCUGAUCCACCGACGCUAACUCUCGAUUCACCAUCUCCGAUCCCUAGAUUUGCUACCGCUGCACCUCCCACUCGAGCACUGAUGAAGCUGUUAGCUAUUGUGUGUCGCCAUCAAUGGGAGAAGGAGAAUUGACAAAGGAUUAGUGCAAUCCUUUUCCCUUGCUCGUGGAGUCGGGGGGAGCCGCGGAUCUUACAUUAGAGAGGUCCACGACCUCUUCUUCUUCACCAGAUCUGGCAACCAUGACUGUUGAUGCCACAUCCAGCCACCAACCACAACACCUAGCCCCUGUGCCGCUACAGAUCGUUGUGAGCCAUUACCAGAAGAGCUGUGGGCUGCCGCCAGUGAACUACUGCCAUUGUUGCGGUCACCACCAACCGCUAGUUUCUUCUGGUUUAUCAAGCGAUAGUAGGUCGAUGAAAUAAGGAUCAUUUGAUUGAGUUGUAAUGGAUUGGUUAUUGGGAAAAAUCCUCCAAAUGGCACUGUUCUGGCCAAUAGAGUGCAACUGUGAUUGAUCCAGCCAGAAAUUAGGGAUCGAUUAAGGGGGCAACAGUUUCAUUGAGCUAUGGUCAGUUUUCCAGUAGUAAUUGUUCCGGCCGUAAGUCAACAAUAAAGCACACUGGAAUUAGAGAACAGGUAGAUGAUAUAUGGACACUUGGAGGUCCUGACUGUUGGUCUCACGUCACAUUCGAGGACGGUUUUCUAGUUUAGUUUCCCAUUUUAUUUGUGUUUUGAAUUUGUGAACUUGGUAUUGUAAUAACCCAUCGUGGACUUGGAGUUUUGACUUGUGAUAUCUUGUAUUUGGUUUGUUGUCGUAGUGUCAAGCUGGGUAGGCUCGUAGUUAGUUGUAUUGUGGUUUUACAUUCGAUAUUUUGUCUUUCGCUAUGUUUUGUUUCAA